CAGUCCCCAAAAGUGACUUUACCAGGAAACAUAGACAAAGCAGCCAUUGUGAAAGCUGAAGGAUAUCACCAAUGGGUGGUAACGCUGACAGCAGAAAAUCAAAGAAACCUUAGCAUUAAGGCAACAGUAUAACAUAAAAAAAUGUGUCAGCUCUCCGUGGCCAUGCAGAUUAUCACUCACAUCAUGAUGGAAGACAGAUUCAAGAAUGACACAAUCGCCUUCCUCCACCCACAGACCUUGGAUUCCUGCCAUUGGCUACACCCCUCCAACUAAUGUGGAACAUGAAGCUAUGUCUGGUCCCAUAUGUCCAUAAAUGGAAGGAAGGCCAGCACAGAUGAUGUAGGAAUGAAUGAAUGAAGCAAGCGUCCACAGUUUCUUUGCUGACUGUAGAUCCCUAACACAGGCAUAGCAAGGCUUAUUUUUAAUGGAUUCAUUUUAUUCUGUUUUUCAGACAGGAGUGUCAUUUCAUUGUCAGGUUGUUGUUUUAAAAAUGAAGUAAAUUAAUCUAACUAUAAGCUUUAUCCCAGCUGUUGAGGUGAGAGCAGAUCUCUUCUGUCUGAGCAUACUAGCAGCAAAUAAACUAUGCAGAAUGUUUGUUUGGCUGAAACCACUGCAUAAGUAGUUAUAUAAGUGCACUUGAAAUGUUCCGAAUUCUUUUGUUUACUGAGAAAUCCUUCAUCUUUUGUAAAUUAAAAACUCAAAGUUAGUCUUA